GAUAGCUACAACCUAAGAAGUUGAAAGUUACCAGAGGAACUUCCUACAGGAGAUCUGGUUGCUAUUGCAGUAAACAAUCAGAUGUGCACCGCAGAAUUAAGUGCGCGUGGGUGGCUUGACCGGGAAAGCCUAUUUUCUUUGCUCUGCUCAUACUGAAGAACAUAGGAAGCUGCCAUAUACUGAGUCAGACCAUUGGCCCGUCGAGCUCAGUAUUGUCUACACUGACUGGCAGAGCUCUCUGGGGUUUGAGGCAGGAGUCUCUCCCAGCCCUACCUGGAGAUGCUGCCAGGGACUGAACUGGGGGCCUUCUGCUCCACUUCACCUUAGCUUGGCUUAAUAGGAUGCCAUCAGCGGUACUGGAGGGGAGAUAGCUUUGAAUUCCCUAUGCAGAACAGAUUUAUCCUUGCCAAAUGGGGAACGGCAAGAGUGAAACUGUGGAUCAUGCUAAAAGCGCAAAGAGGCUCAUUUUAAAAGUGGCGGUUCUCUUCUGUUAAGCUGGGGGAGAGCAACUGGCCCUGUCCAUCCCCAGCACAGAAUCCCUCCAGCGGCUGUUGCUGGCAUCUCUCUUAUGUUUUGUUUUUAAGACUGUGAGCCCGUUGGGGACAGGGGGCCAUUUUAUCUAUAUCUAUCUAUCCCUCCCUCCCACUUGGGGGACUUUUGUUGAAAAGCUGUAUAUAAAUAUUUGUCGUAUUUGUAUUCAUACUGUCAAUUUUAUAGACACAUUUAUUAAUUAAAUAACUCAAAUUUUAAGGAAAUUUAAUAUUUAGAUUGAUUGAUUGACUGAUGAAGUGCCGUCAAGCCGGUGUCGACUUUUAGCAACUGCACAGAUAGAUUCUCUCCAGGAUGAUCUGUCCUCAACUUGGCCUUUAAGGUCUCUCAGUGGUGCCUUCAUUGCUGUCAUGAUUGAGUCCAUCCACCUUCCUGCCUGCUGGUCAUCGUCUCCUUCUCUUUCCUUCAACUUUUCCCGUCAUUAUGGACUUCUCAAGGGAACUGGGUUUUUGCAUAAUGUGUCCAAAGUAUGAUAUAAAUAUAUAUAAUCUCAGGGCAGUAUAUAAAAUUCCCAGGCAGGCCAGAUAAAUUUCAUACCUCUCUUCUUCUCCCAGAUUCCAAAACAGAUAUUACUUUUAACGUUGCAAAAUUUUGUUCCAGGGCUUCAUCAGGAAUCAGAUGGUUAUAUCUGUAAUUGAAUUGCCUGGAAAGCAUUGUUUUUUGAGUAUUGAUUUAAGGUAACUGUAAAAUUGUAAAUGGAUGCAAUGUAAGUUACUGUGAGUUGUAUUAAUUCUCGUUUAAUUUUGAAUUUUUCUUUCUUGUUUAUGUUUUCUGGUCCUGGAUUGUAAUAAAUUUAAUCAACCUUCUGCUCUA